rnacentral:rRNA from 1 species
UGGGGAAUUUUGCACAAUGGGGGAAACCCUGAUGCAGCGACGCCGCGUGAUUUAGAAGGCCUUCGGGUUGUAAAAAUCUUUUGUAUAGGAAGAAAAUGACAGUACUAUACGAAUAAGGACCGGCUAAUUACGUGCCAGCAGCCGCGGUAAUACGUAAGGUCCGAGCGUUGUCCGGAAUCAUUGGGCGUAAAGGGUACGUAGGCGGGUAAGCAAGUUAGAAGUGAAAUCCUAUAGCUCAACUAUAGUAAGCUUUUAAAACUGCUCAUCUUGAGGUAUGGAAGGGAAAGUGGAAUUCCUAGUGUAGCGGUGAAAUGCGCAGAUAUUAGGAGGAAUACCGGUGGCGAAGGCGAGUUUCUGGCCAUAACCUGACGCUGAGGUACGAAAGCGUGGGUAGCAAACAGG